GAUGAACGCUGGCGGCGUGCUUAACACAUGCAAGUCGAACGAGAAGUGAAGACGGAAACCUUCGGGCGGAAGGCUUUAUUUCGAGUGGCGGACGGGUGAGUAACGCGUGGGUAACCUGCCUCAUACAGGGGGAUAACAGUUGGAAACGACUGUUAAUACCGCAUAAGACCACAGCACCGCAUGGUGCGGGGGUAAAAACUCCGGUGGUAUGAGAUGGACCCGCGUUCGAUUAGCCAGUUGGCGGGGUAACGGCCCACCAAAGCGACGAUCGAUAGCCGACCUGAGAGGAUGACCGGCCACAUUGGGACUGAGACACGGCCCAAACUCCUACGGGAGGCAGCAGUGGGGAAUAUUGCACAAUGGGGGAAACCCUGAUGCAGCGACGCCGCGUGAGUGAAGAAGUAUUUCGGUAUGUAAAGCUCUAUCAGCAGGGAAGAAAAUGACGGUACCUGAGGAAGAAGCCCCGGCUAACUACGUG
rnacentral:rRNA from 1 species